rnacentral:rRNA from 1 species
GAGAUAGAAAGAUAAAUUAAUAGAAAUAUACAUUAUGAUUUAUAUUUAUAUAAAAAGGUUUAUAAUAUGUUAGUAAAAGGUUAGGAAAAUUUUUUUGUUUUGUACUGAGAAGGAUUAAUAUAAUUUGUUUUAUAGUAAAAAUUAGUUUUUGUAUCUUUUGUAUAAUGGUUUGAUAAUAUUUAUUGUUAUAUAGAAGGUUCUCGAAGUAGGAAGAUUUAUUUGUUAAAUAUAGGUAAUAUGGUUUGUUAACGUGGUAAAGUUAUAAAUUUAGUAAUAAAUGGUAGUGAAAUGCUAUUCGAUUUCUAAGGUAGCUAGUUUAUUAUUAUUACGUUUUAGUGUUUAUUAUAGUUAAUAUAUUAAGGUAAAUAACUGUGGUGUAAAUAUUGGGGGAUAAGCUUCUUAUAUUAUAGUAAGAUUUUUAAAGUAAGUAAAUUUGUUUUAAGUUGGAUUAAUAGUUUUUCUUAUAAAUAUAAGGGUAUGUUAUUUUAAAUUAUAUAUCUUAAUUUAGAUUAAUAUAGUAAAUGAUUUAUAAUUAAUUUUAAGGUUAAAUAUAAUGUUAAAAUGAGUAUAUAUUAUAAGAAUAAAAAUACUAAAUAAAUUUGUUUUACAGGGGGUUUAGUUUUUAUAUUUUUAUAAAAAAUUAAUUAGAAUAAAGGAAUUUAGCAAAUAAUAAUUUCGCCUGUUUAUCAAAAACAUGUCUCUUUGACUUUAUUUUAUAAAGAGUUGGGCCUGCUCAGUGAUAUUUUUAACAGCUGCGGUGUUAUAACUGUACUAAGGUAGCAUAAUAAUUUGCCUUAUAAAUUAGGGCUAGAAUGAAUGGUUUGACGAGAGUUAUACUGUCUCUAUUUUAAUUGUUAGAAUUUAAUUUUUAUAGUGAAAAAGCUUGGAUGGUUUAAAGGGACGAGAAGACCCUAUUGAGCUUUAUACGUUUAUAUAAAUAUAUAAACAUGUUUGGUUGGGGUGAUCAAGGAAUAAAAUAUAAAUAGUUUAACUUCCUUAGAUUUAUUAAUUUGUUAGGAUAAUAAACCAAUAUAUUGCUUUAAUGAUAAGUUACCAUAGGGAUAACAGCGUAAUUUUUUUAGAGAGUUCUUAUUGAAAAAAAAGAUUGCGACCUCGAUGUUGGAUUAAAAUAACCAUUAGGUGUAGAUGCUUUAUUUGGUGAAUCUGUUCGAUUUUUAAAAUUUUACAUGAUCUGAGUUCAAACCGGUGUGAGCCAGGUUGGUUUUUAUCUUUUAAAUUUGAUUGUUGUUUGGUCUAGUACGAAAGGAUUGACUUAAAAUUAAUAAGAUUAUAAUUAUUAAUAAUU